GUGUUUUAAGUUGUUGUUAGUUGUCUCUUGCACCGAUUGUACUUUGUCUUAAAUUAGUUUGUUUCGACUGUUAAAAGUAUUGUAAAUGUAAAGUUAAUUAUGGGGUCGCCGUAAUUGGGGAAACCUGUGGCGAACUCCCUGGCGCUAUAUUAGCCGAAUCUCAUUAAAUCAUUUAAUCAAUGUGAUUGGUUAGAGUUGUCUGAGUGGCGCCGGCCCCACUUACAGUAGACGUACUGUAAGCCUUAAUAAAGCUAAGAGAAAGUUUGAUAUUAAGUAUUCCAAUUUAUUAACAUAAAAUUAAUAAUUAUAACAUGGACUAGACAGCAUAUAUAUUCCCUGAAAUCUACACAUGCAGGAAGUUUCAUAUUUAACUUACACAGGAAAUUUUUAUUUUUGCAUUUGCUGGUACGAAGAAAAAUAUAUUUAUUUCUAUUUAUUUAAAUCUCACGUAGAUUGAAAGCAUCUGAUUGGUCACGGUAGCUAGCGGUGCACCUCUCUAAUAUAAGCGUCCCGGCCAGCUGACUGAAACCGCAUGAUACACUCCUACUUUUUAAGACAUUACAAAAUCUACGCGCAAAAAUAUUUUUAUAGCAAUUGUCAAUAAAUUAUUUAAAAUUCGUUGUCUUUAUUUCUAUUCCAUAUAUUAUUUAAUCAGGUCUAUAUUGUAAUUUAAUAAAAAUACUAGCGCUAAAUACUAAAAUAGAUAUUACAAAUUUUCC